rnacentral:rRNA from 1 species
GACGAACGCUGGCGGCGUGCUUAACACAUGCAAGUCGAACGGAAAGGCCCUGCUUUUGUGGGGUGCUCGAGUGGCGAACGGGUGAGUAACACGUGAGUAACCUGCCCUUGACUUUGGGAUAACUUCAGGAAACUGGGGCUAAUACCGGAUAGGAGCUCCUGCUGCAUGGUGGGGGUUGGAAAGUUUCGGCGGUUGGGGAUGGACUCGCGGCUUAUCAGCUUGUUGGUGGGGUAGUGGCUUACCAAGGCUUUGACGGGUAGCCGGCCUGAGAGGGUGACCGGCCACAUUGGGCCUGAGAUACGGCCCAGACUCCUACGGGAGGCAGCAGUGGGGAAUAUUGCACAAUGGGCGGAAGCCUGAUGCAGCAACGCCGCGUGCGGGAUGACGGCCUUCGGGUUGUAAACCGCUUUCGCCUGUGACGAAGCGUGAGUGACGGUAAUGUGUAAAGAAGCACCGGCUAACUACGUG